GACGAACGCUAGCGGCGUGCCUAAUACAUGCAAGUUGAGCGCUGAAGGUUGGUACUUGUACCGACUGGAUGAGCAGCGAACGGGUGAGUAACGCGUGGGGAAUCUGCCUUUGAGCGGGGGACAACAUUUGGAAACGAAUGCUAAUACCGCAUAAAAACUUUAAACACAAGUUUUAAGUUUGAAAGAUGCAAUUGCAUCACUCAAAGAUGAUCCCGCGUUGUAUUAGCUAGUUGGUGAGGUAAAGGCUCACCAAGGCGAUGAUACAUAGCCGACCUGAGAGGGUGAUCGGCCACAUUGGGACUGAGACACGGCCCAAACUCCUACGGGAGGCAGCAGUAGGGAAUCUUCGGCAAUGGACGAAAGUCUGACCGAGCAACGCCGCGGGAGUGAAGAAGGUUUUCGGAUCGUAAAACUCUGUUGGUAGAGAAGAACGUUGGUGAGAGUGGAAAGCUCAUCAAGUGACGGUAACUACCCAGAAAGGGACGGCUAACUACGUG
rnacentral:rRNA from 1 species